UACGUAGGCAGCAAGCGUUGUUCGGAAUUACUGGGCGUAAAGAGUGUGUAGGCGGUGCUCUAAGUUCGGUGUGAAAUCUCCCGGCUCAACUGGGGAACUGCACAGGAAACUAGCGGGCUUGAGUUCGGGAGAGGGAAGCGGAAUUCCGGGUGUAGCGGUGAAAUGCGUAGAUAUCCGGAGGAACACCGGUGGCGAAGGCGGCUUCCUGGACCGACACUGACGCUGAGGUGCGAAAGCGUGGGGAGCAAACAGG
rnacentral:rRNA from 1 species